rnacentral:miRNA from 1 species
GGGUGUCCAGGAAGGAAGGAAGGAAGGAAGGAAGGAAGGAAGGAAAAGAGGGAGGAUGAACCAAACAAGUGCCUACUUAAUCAGUCCAGUGGCCCAUCUCUUCCAGCAUCCUGUUCUCACAGUCACCAACCAGGCUCUGAAAUUCCUUCCUUCCUUCCUUCCUUCCUUCCUUCCUUCCUUCCUUCCUCUCUCUCAUCUUG